GGGUAAUGUGAUGCUAUAUUUUUUAAUGUGAUUUGGUUUUCUUAUACAAUGUAGAUAAUGUUAUGGAUGUGAUGCUUAAAUUUGUAGAAGUGAGAUGGUAUUUCUAAUUUCCCUGUUAACCAUGAUCAUGAUGAUGCUAAAUGCAAUUUCUGGGAAGAAUUAGAAAUGUAUAUUACAUUUUACAUGUGUACUAUCGAGAAGCUAUGAAUUAAAAAACGUGACAGAAGGACAUGUUUUCUUCUUUGACCAUGCAUACCAUUGAGAUGAAUAAAUUACAACCAUCCCCUUUACUCAAUGAUGACGCCUGUGCAGUGAUCUGGAAAGUUUUUUUCCCUAUGGGCCCAGGGCCCCUCAAAAAUAAAUUUAAUGGGCAAUUUUAAAAAAUUAUGGGCCAUUUGAAUUUACUUCUGUAAAAAAAAAAUGUAUCAGUAUAUUUUGGCAAAGAGAUGUUUGUACUUACCUUUAUGAUUUUAAAUAAAAUCAUGGGUAUUAAAGAUAAAGAUAUUUUAUUUCCUAAUCAUAGGGCUCAUAACAAGCAUGUAAUCACAAAAAGUAAAAAUAAAAAGCCUUUCUCUCCCACUUGCAUACACUCACACAUACAACUAUCGUUCUGACUGAUUAAGGAUGAUUGAUUUUACAGUACAACAUCUAAAUGAAAAAAAAAAAAAAGACAGAUAAAAAUACCAUUACAAAUGUAUUGAUCCUGUGAUUUUGUAAUUUCAAUUUCAAUGAAUAUACAAUAACUUCUUCCAAACCGAAC
rnacentral:lncRNA from 1 species